ACGCUGGCGGCGUGCUAAUACAUGCAAGUCGAACGAAACUUUCUUACACCGAAUGCUUGCAUUCACCGUAAGAAGUUGAGUGGCGGACGGGUGAGUAACACGUGGGUAACCUGCCUAAAAGAAGGGGAUAACACUUGGAAACAGGUGCUAAUACCGUAUAUCUCUAAGGAUCGCAUGAUCCUUAGAUGAAAGAUGGUUCUGCUAUCGCUUUUAGAUGGACCCGCGGCGUAUUAACUAGUUGGUGGGGUAACGGCCUACCAAGGUGAUGAUACGUAGCCGAACUGAGAGGUUGAUCGGCCACAUUGGGACUGAGACACGGCCCAAACUCCUACGGGAGGCAGCAGUAGGGAAUCUUCCACAAUGGACGCAAGUCUGAUGGAGCAACGCCGCGUGAGUGAAGAAGGUCUUCGGAUCGUAAAACUCUGUUGUUAGAGAAGAACACGAGUGAGAGUAACUGUUCAUUCGAUGACGGUAUCUAACCAGCAAGUCACGGCUAACUACGUGCCAGCAGCCGCGGUAAUACGUAGGUGGCAAGCGUUGUCCGGAUUUAUUGGGCGUAAAGGGAACGCAGGCGGUCUUUUAAGUCUGAUGUGAAAGCCUUCGGCUUAACCGGAGUAGUGCAUUGGAAACUGGAAGACUUGAGUGCAGAAGAGGAGAGUGGAACUCCAUGUGUAGCGGUGAAAUGCGUAGAUAUAUGGAAGAACACCAGUGGCGAAAGCGGCUCUCUGGUCUGUAACUGACGCUGAGGUCGAAAGCGUGGGUAGCAACAGAUA
rnacentral:rRNA from 2 species